rnacentral:rRNA from 1 species
GUACGCUGGCGGCACGCCUAACACAUGCAAGUCGAACGCAGUAGCAAUACUGAGUGGCAAACGGGUGAGUAUAAUGUGGGAAUCUGCCUUUUGGUUUGGAAUAACACGGGGAAACUUGUGCUAAUACCAAAUAAGCCUUUACAGGGAAAGUUUUAAUGCCAAAAGAUGAGCCCGCACUUGAUUAGCUAGUUGGUAAGGUAAAAGCUUACCAAGGCAACGAUCAAUAGCUGUUCUUAGAGGAAGACCAGCCACAUUGGGACUGAGACACGGCCCAGACUCCUACGGGAGGCAGCAGUGGGGAAUCUUGCACAAUGGGGGAAACCCUGAUGCAGCGAUGCCGCGUGAGUGAAGAAGGCCCUUGGGUUGUAAAACUCUUUCGUCGGGGAAGAAAAUGACUGUACCCGAAUAAGAAGGUCCGG